UCAGGUAGGGAUACCCGCUGAACUUAAGCAUAUCAAUAAGGCGGAGGU
rnacentral:rRNA from 1 species